UUUGCUUGGUCACUUCAACAGUGUUCUCUAGAGAAAAGAUGAAGAGCUGGGGAUUUUUUUAUUAAUUUUUCAAAGGAAUUUCUUAAUAGAUAUCAAUAGUACUGGUAUUAUAUUAAAUAGGGUAACUUAGUCACAUUGAAUUUUUUAUACAUUACCAAAAAAUAGUUUACAUUAUCAUUACAGAGAAUUCAAAAUAAGGGAGGUAAGCGUAAUACCGUAAAAUAUAAGGGAGAUUAGUGUAAUGAAGCGAAAUUACGAGGGAAUUCUCUGAAAUUAUCUUUAAAAUUUAAAGUCUCAUUAUGCUAGAGGCAAAAAGAGUCUUUUAAAGUCUCUUUCUAGUUAAACUUCUAACAAUAGAACGAUUUUUUUUUUAUACCACGCAUGUAACUACAAAGAAAGGGCGACAAACCCCCUAUCUAGGGGAGCAUGAGUUUGAAGAUUACUUCUCAAAUGAGGAAAUAAACUUUUUCAAAAGAAACCUUUCCUCUUUUAUUCGAUGAGGCAAAUAGAGAACCAACUUUAUUCCGUAACUUUUUUUUUUCCAGUCAAGCUUCGAAACCUUACAGUUAUCAUAUCCUAGAAUAUACUCAAUUCAGUACAUCGUGGUCAGCUCCCAAAUAGAAUCUACUGUGGUGAGUGAUGCAUAGUGUUACAUCUACAAUUAGAAUAAGACAUGGAUUGCACCAGAAAAUACAGAUCGUUUCUGUAAAAGAAAGAAUAAAGUAAAUGAAAUUUUAGGUUUUUAAAAUCAAGUGAAAAAGAUUAGAGCUAAAAAUGGACAUAAUCUCAGGCUCGUGUAUGCACUUUAUGCUUUUUCCAAGAUUUGGUAGUUCUGUUUUGAGUACGAGCCUUACAAAGUACCCUAUAGUAGUUUAAGUGAGCGCAAUUUCAGAACACAAAGAUAAAAGAAAAAAGGAUAAAAAAACUUUUCUUUUCUCCCAUUGAAGUAAAUUUCAGUAAUUUAUAAUCUCAAAGUACGGCUAAAACAAAUACAAUAGUAGCGUUUUUGAAUGCAAAUACUUCCAUAGUUAUUAUUAGAACGUUAUAGUAAAUAUCAUUAUUGGAUUUGUGACAAUUUAUUUGUAUUAAUUCAUCAACUUCAAUAUUAAUCAAAGUUAUUUGCAUUAACCACAUACAUAUUCCUUUAGGCAUGGCUGAUGAUAUCGAAAUUUAGCCCUACAGCAAUCAAAAUGGAAAACUUGAAUGCAUAUAAACAGAUCUUCCAAUGACGACACACAAGAGAUGCCAAGUUGAUUCCUCAUUUCACCUUCCCAAUGAACUGAUUUUUAAUAGAUCUUGAACUGUCUAUUGCAUUAUUUAAGUUUCAAAUUAACACGUGUCAAACACGAAAAGGACAAUGACCUCUUAAUCAUGACAUCAACACUGGAAUGUUCAGAUGAAAAAUCAAGAAAAUGGUAUAAAUAAGAUUUGGCAGAAAACGCUAUUCUCAAAUGCAAGAAAAGAAAUGAACAAAUACUGCGAGAUAAAUGCAAAAAAAGGACAGUCAAGUAGCUCAUUGAAAAUAACAAAACAUGGCCAUUACUCCAAAUCACAAUAAAAACAAGAGACAUAGUAGUACUUCCCCAUUCUCGAACUACACAAUGAACUCCUUUUUUAAAACUAAUAAACUCAAUAACUUAGAAUCUUCACAUGAGUACUUUACGCACAAGCACAAGUACAAACGUCAGAAAUUGUUUAAUGAUUUUUCAUUCAAUAUAUUACUCGAUAAAAGAGUUAAUCUCCAGAAAAGAAGUGCAGCAUUGCAACUUUUGUUUUUAUGGUUUAAAGGGAAGGAAAAGUUAGAUUGUAACCUAAAGGAAAACACAUUCCGAGAGUAAAGAAAGCCGCUCAUUUGAGAGGAUAGGCGGCAGCUCCUAGUCCUUUUUAGGCUUAUCACACUGAUACUGAUGAUUAAUAUUUAAUCAUUUUAAUAUUUCAAGCAUGGUGAUGGACAAAUACAUUAACAAAACCACCCCUUAAAAUGUUAUGUUCAAUGAAAAAACUCACGAAUGUCAACAUACUUAAAUAAAAUAGUAGGCAUUAAAUUAGUUACAAGUUCCAAUGCCAUCUAAUGCACUACUACUUAGUAGGCAUUUGAACAUACAUAUUUUUUGCAAAUAAUUUAAGUAUUCUUUGUAAUUUAACGUACAGUUUUAUCUAUUAUCUCAAAUUAAAACUUGGAAUAGAAAAUCUGACGUAGAAAAAAUGAUUCGAAUAAUAUAUCAAGUCACAAAACUUCUAACUUUAUUGAAAUUCAUUUUUACACACAUUCAACUUCAAAAAUCUUUUUUUUCAACUUCAAUGGAAUAUUCUCCAAACAGACCCAAAUCUUGAUUUCCAGAAAAGAAUAUAAAAGAAAACAGGAGAAAAUGUGUAAAAACAAGAAGCCAUUACUCAAUUGCAUUCAUGGCUUUGUACAUUUUAGAGUCGAGAAGAAGCUUGGAAGGAGAAGUGAGAAGGCUGCACAAAGUGUUUAAUUUCCAAGAAGAGAACGAGGGUUUUCACCUGCUGAAGAGGGAGAAAAGUGGGUACAUCACAAGAGCAAUAUAUGGCUGAGAAACAGGUAAGAAAGUGCAGCAUUUUCAUUUGAUGGAUUUUCAAAUGAAGUUAUAGUGUUAACACAAAACUCUCAUCCUUCUAACUAAAUGUCAUUUAGUGGGGAAGGAGAGGAAGGCAACAGCCCAUAUGAGUAAUUAGAACUUUUCUCAUAUGCUUAAACCAAUUCUGCAGAAGAACAAUCACAGCAAGUGCUGAUCACCUAAAAGUAUAUCUCAAAUUUGGAUUCCAACUAAUAAGAGGGCGAGCUAUUUCCCACCUUGCAAGUUUAACUAAACAAGUUGCAAGUGCUCAUCAAUUGAAUAAAAGUGGGUAUCAAAUCAAAAUGUUAGCCACCUUGGUUAAAAACAUUUAAAAAAAUUACAACUAGUGUAAAAUCUUAAGUCCAAAGUUCAACACCUUUGAUGAUUUUACAAGGAAAAAAUCUAUUUGGAUCUUACUCAUCUCGCAACAAAACCCAAAACACAGCUUAUUACCAAAAUGAAUCACAAAUUUGAAAGUAGUAAAGAAAAAGUAUAGAAGCAGGUCACAUGCUUGUCACAAAUACCCUACACUAUUACACAAAAAGAAAAACAAAAAUCAAACAUGCUUCAAUCCUUAAUUAGUAUGAUCCACUAUAUCUAGAGGGACGAUUAGCAGUUGGAUCAAAAGAAAAGGAAAGUAAAGAAAAAGGCAAAAGGGAGCUCCCUUCAGUCCAAGCACAGAUAAAAAGGGAUGAAUUUACCUCCCGCAUCAUUCACACAUUCACAGUAGCGUAUAGAAAUACAUAUAUGAUUUCUACUGUGUUUGAAUGAAUGAGUCGGCAGCUAAUCCAAAUCCCUUCAUCCACCUAUGAGUGGACUGAAGGAAGCUCUCUUAAACCGUUCAAUACCGAAUUAAAUUAAUGUAAGAGGUAAAUCACAAACAAAUUUCUAAGAGGCUCAAAACUCAAAUGAGCAAAUAAGCAGUGCUAUGUGCCCAAACAUUUUCAUAUUCUUCUCAGUUUUCUAUAAGAAGAUAUUUUGGUAGAUCUAAUCAAAAACAAAUUGGGUAGAUAAAAAAUGUGUGGUGAUUUUGGAGAUAAUGAGAGUAGAAAUUCUCCUUACAUUGAUGCUUAUGAUUCGAGAUCAAUGGACUUCACAUUUGGAAAGCAGCAACUGAUUUGACUCUUGAAAUCCGAACUGCGCCACACAAAUUGGGACGGAGAGACUACUUAAUAACUUGUCUUUCUUUUUUACUUGUCGAAGUAAAAUCAUCUUCCAACACAGUGACAGUACCUUCAAAGAUAUCAAUGUCUAACAAGAAAAUUCACAAUACCAACAUCGCUGUACAAAUGAAAUGUAUUUUUGGUGUUUUCUUUUCUAAAUUUAAAGAGCUAAUAUUGGGUUCUGAAGGCACAUGAAUAGAUGGUGGAAAGUAAUAUACCUGCAACAUACCCUAGACCAAAAAGGAAAACAGAAGUUCUCAAGUCAAAUGGUUUUUAAAAGGCAAAGGAAAAAAUUAACGAGACGCAGUAACACUAAAGCAGUAAUAUUUGUUAAUUUUUCUGCCACUACUCCAAUUGCCUGAAUGAACCCUAACCCUAACCCGCUGCAAAUCCAAGAAGGACAAGCUUGGCGAAAACCUAGACUAGCAAUUGACCACAGUAGAAAGAUCAGAUCACAACUGACAAGUCACAAGGACAAAAUCAAACUCAUAUAACAUCAUACAAAUUAAAGGCGCAUUUACCCCUGUUAAUUGAUGAUCCGGUGAAGCAAGGAAAGAUACUCCUGAAGCAGUGACCAACUCUCUUUAACGUCAAAUAGUAAAAGCAAUGACAGUAUAAAACUCACUAAUAUAUAUCCAAAACAGAUAAACGUAUGAUCAGCGAAAUAUUUAUAACAACGAAAACAAAGAAGACUUCUUCUCCACUCCCCUAAGAAAAUCCCAAGUUGGACAAUCGAUGAACCAUGCAAGUGUUCUGAAGAAAACGAGACAAAUGGAAGAAAAAAAGAAGGGAAAACAAUGGUAGAAAGGGGAAAGAGUAAGCAAGAAUCCCGGAAGAUGGAGAGGUAGUAUUGGUUAUAUUAGCUUAAGUAGAGUGUAGUGUCACUCUCGGCCUAAGAGUCAGAGCAAAAGGGAAAGCGAUGUAUGAAUGAAGAUCUCCACGAAUCUCUGCCAAAGAGAAACCAAACCUAGUGGCUAGUAGGGGGUUCUCUCUCUCUUUCUUUUUUCUAUACCUUAUACAAGAGGGGAGUUGUUGAAAAGACAGGCGUAGAAUGGUGUAUUUAUACACAUGAUGGAUAAAAACUGUC
rnacentral:lncRNA from 1 species